rnacentral:rRNA from 1 species
AGAGUUUGAUCCUGGCUCAGGACGAACGCUGGCGGCGUGCCUAAUACAUGCAAGUCGAGCGAGCGGAACUAACAGAUUUACUUCGGUAAUGACGUUAGGAAAGCGAGCGGCGGAUGGGUGAGUAACACGUGGGGAACCUGCCCCAUAGUCUGGGAUACCACUUGGAAACAGGUGCUAAUACCGGAUAAGAAAGCAGAUCGCAUGAUCAGCUUUUAAAAGGCGGCGUAAGCUGUCGCUAUGGGAUGGCCCCGCUGUGCAUUAGCUAGUUGGUAAGGUAAAGGCUUACCAAGGCGAUGAUGCAUAGCCGAGUUGAGAGACUGAUCGGCCACAUUGGGACUGAGACACGGCCCAAACUCCUACGGGAGGCAGCAGUAGGGAAUCUUCCACAAUGGACGCAAGUCUGAUGGAGCAACGCCGCGUGAGUGAAGAAGGUUUUCGGAUCGUAAAGCUCUGUUGUUGGUGAAGAAGGAUAGAGGUAGUAACUGGCCUUUAUUUGACGGUAAUCAACCAGAAAGUCACGGCUAACUACGUGCCAGCAGCCGCGGUAAUACGUAGGUGGCAAGCGUUGUCCGGAUUUAUUGGGCGUAAAGCGAGCGCAGGCGGAAGAAUAAGUCUGAUGUGAAAGCCCUCGGCUUAACCGGAGUAGUGCAUUGGAAACUGGAAGACUUGAGUGCAGAAGAGGAGAGUGGAACUCCAUGUGUAGCGGUGAAAUGCGUAGAUAUAUGGAAGAACACCAGUGGCGAAAGCGGCUCUCUGGUCUGUAACUGACGCUGAGGUUCGAAAGCGUGGGUAGCAAACAGGAUUAGAUACCCUGGUAGUCC